rnacentral:tRNA from 1 species
AGACAUUUAGUUUAAUUAAAACAUUUGAUUUCGGCUCAAAAGCACAUGGUUAAAUUCCAUGAAUGUUAA